UACGGAGGAUGCAAGCGUUAUCCGGAAUGAUUGGGCGUAAAGCGUCCGCAGGUGGCUAUGUAAGUCUGCUGUCAAAGCGUCUGGCUCAACCAGAUAAAGGCAGUGGAAACUACAUAGCUAGAGUAAGGUAGGGGUAGAGGGAAUUCCUGGUGUAGCGGUGAAAUGCGCAGAUAUCAGGAGGAACACCUAUUGCGAAGGCAGCUCGCUGGGACGUAACUGACGCUGAGACGCGAAAGCGUGGGGAGCAAACAGG
rnacentral:rRNA from 1 species